GACGAACGCUGGCGGCGUGCUUAACACAUGCAAGUCGAACGGAAAGGCGCUGCUCUUGUUGGUUGGUCGAGUGGCGAGCGGGUGAGUAACACGUGAGUAACCUGCCCUGGACUUUGGGAUAACUUCAGGAAACUGGGGCUAAUACCGGAUAGGAGAUUCUGCGGCAGUGCGGUGGUUGGAAAGGUUCGGCGGUUGGGGCUGGGCUCGCGGCUUUUCAGCUUUUUGGGGGGGUAGUGGCUUACCAGGGCUUUGAAGGGUAGCCGGCCUGAGCGGGUGACCGGCCCCAUUGGGACUGCGAUACGGCCCAGAAUCCUACGGGAGGCAGCAGUGGGGAAUAUUGCACAGUGGGCGGACGUCUGAUGCGGCAGCGCCGCGUGCGUGAUGACGGCCUUCGGGUUGUAAACCGCUUUCGCCUGUGACGAAGCGUGAGUGACGGUAACGGGUAAAGAAGCACCGGCUAACUACGUG
rnacentral:rRNA from 1 species